GCUCCACGUUGUCAGCACGGAGCCCGACACGGGUUUUGAACCCACAAGCCACGGGCUCAUGACCUGAGCCGAAAUCAAGACUCGGAUGCCUAACCGACUGAGCCACCUGGGUGCCCCUGGACGUGUGGCUUUUAAAACAGUGGCAGAUAUCAUGGCAACGGAGAAAAGAGAACCCUGGUGAAACCACGAGUUGGCUUUUCGAAGAGAGUGGCUGACGCGAGCCUCUCGUGUCUUCUUCUUAGAAUUAAAAGGCGCCACGGAUGGUUCCUGAAAUCCUUCUCCAGAGUGAAUGCCAUACCUUUCUGCAGCCCACGGGGGCUCUGGUCUGUGUGCUGUGCAUGAGAAAAUUUAUCACUUAACUGCUUCUUGUCCUUCAACUUUGUCUGACCGCCAGCCCAGAGCCGGAGAACUCAGUCAAUGAAAACAGAGCCAAACAAGGGAAGAAGUAAAUCAGCGCUGAGCUCUCUGAGGGUCCCCCAGGGGGGAGAGUCGGGUCUCUAGGCCACUCCCUGGCCAGCCGGGGAGGGGAGCGGCCCCCAUGCAGGUCCCUCCCAGGACCGGGCAGUUGCUGAGAUGUGACCCUCCCCGUGCUGUCCUCUGCUGGCUGAGCUCCCAGGGCUGUGGAUUCCUGGCCUCGGCCUCGGCUCUCAAGACAAGGCAAGCCCCCUCCUCUGUGCUGCCGCUUCCCCAGCCGCCAUCCCGCCUUGUACCGGCUUUCUCCGGAUCGGACCCACGGCCCCAGAUCCCCCCAGCUCCUUGCUCUGCAGUGUCUGAGCCCCCGAGAGAGCUGAGACAAUGAAGUCAGAGAAGAGCUCAACUGGCCAGCUUCCUUGAACAGUUUCAGGGGACAGUUGCUGGCUGUCACCAUGACACCUGUUUCCCCCCUCGCCUUUCUGACGUCCCCGAGUUUCAGUUUGGGAAUGCCUAUGGCCUUAGCGGGGGCUGGCUCUGCGCUUGACUUCGGGUCCGGGCAAAGUGGUGGCGGUGGAAUCAGCUGGGGACCAGUCAGCUGAAGGGCUUACCAGAAGUGCUGGACAAAGUCUCUGCCUCUCUUCCCUUCUCUGGGCGCGAUCCGUGAAACGUGGGGCUCCCGCGGCUGCUGGCCAGAAUUUGGGGAUCACAGUAGAAGCCGUUUUAGGUUGGCUUAGCAGCGUGAAGACAGAGCUAAACCCCAAAGGAAGCGGCUCUCGGUGAACUGAAACCCUCAGCAUUUUCUUAGUCCUGAAACUUAAGCUUGCAAGCUCCUGGACCGUUGAGAAGUAUUCCCCUUCUCCAGAAUUGUCGUGGGCAUCAUUGCCGUGAGGCUGGCCCUCCUGUCUCCGCUGCUGGCCUUGGAGAAGGAGACUGCCGUGAAUCCUACAGCCGCAGGAGCACCCCCAACGAAGCCUCUGACGGGAACCCAACCCCGGUGGGCACCCCUGUUACCGCCUCUCUGAUCUCAGACAAGGACCCAGCUCAGAACGCCUGGACUUCUGGCCCAGAGACACUGGGAGGAAAGAGAUCGUGUAACUGAAACACAGACCAAGGAAAUGAACAGAGAAGAGGAAAACCAAGAUGUUCGACAAUAUCUGGGAAGAAACGCAGCCUUACCAAUAACCAACGAAACACAAGGUCUCCAGUUAAAGAUAAUUUAAAAAGGAGAAACCACUGCUGAAGAAACAGAACGCAAGAGAAGAAAGCAUGGAUUAGCCAACUCAGGUAGCCACAUAAGCACAGACAUACUUACCUUCCUCGUUUCUGAUUCUUAUGAACACAGUACCGUAGACCUUUCAUGAUACUUCCAAAGUAAUAGACCAUCUGUGCUGACUUAGGGGACAGCAGGCCAGGUUCUGGGGGACUGCCCAGCAUGCAGCCUUUGUCAGUAUUUUAGGUAUCUCUCUUUCACGUUAACAAGCAGCGGUGUUUUCUUCGUGGAAUUAAACUCCGCGAAAAUCUCUUUGCAAGCAGAUUUGUGUCUUGAUGACAGUCUGUGGAUGACUUGGGCUGAGGCACGCCGAUGGAGUGUGUGGAUCUCCGGGGAAACUUCCAGCAGAUACGCAUCAGUGCAGCCACAUUCUUCCAGCCUUUACAGCCGUCAGGGCGGUGUCUGACCGUCCUGACAGCCGCCUGCCUCCAGCCGAAGGCGCACGGCGCCUGCGUGUGCCUUUCGCAGCAGUUCAUGGGUUACGAUCACACUCCCGCCUGCCUCAGUUUCUCUGGUGGGUUCCCGAAGACACAGGAACUUUACCUCUUCUUGUAAAAAUUUUUUAAAUAGUUUUUUUAAGUUUAUUUAUUUUGAAAAGAGAGUGCAAGCAGGGUAGAGGCUGAGAGAGAGAGAAGAGAGAGAAUCCCAGGCAGGCUCUGAGCUGUCUGCCCAGAGACCUGAGCCCAAGGCGGAUGCUUUACCGACUGAGCCACCCAGGCGCCCCAGGAAGUUUGCUUCUGAGGGAUGCGGGGCUUAUUCUGUUCGCCCUCCUUUCUCCAAAGAUCCUUCCUGGCUUUGUCCAAGGGGGAUCAUAAUGGGCAGAAGAAGGAAGCAGUAUAACCUAUGGUGGAGAACACAGCAUUUGGAGUUAGAACUCCAUCUAAAUCCUGGUGCUACUCUUUACAAGUACUGUGUAACCUGCGCAUCUGUUUCUGUGUCAAAUGGGGCAACACUAUUUUAAUAGGAGAGUGUUUUCAUAAUAAUAGAACUAGUAGGACGUGUAUAUGAAUACACACACACACACACACACACACACACAAUGGGGUUAUUAUAAGGAAUUGGAUCACAUAAUUAUGGAAGCUGACAAGUCCCAAGAUCUGCAGGAUGAGUUAGCAGCUAGAGACCCAGAAAAGCCAAUGGUUUGGAUCUAGUCCAAAGGCCUGCUGGCUCAAGACCUGGGAAGAGGUGAUGUUUCAGUUCAAAUGUGAAAACGACAAAGGGCUGAUGUCUCAAUUUAAACGCGGUUAGGAGGGAAGAACUCCCUGUUCCUUGGGAGUGGGUCAGCUUUUUUGAUCUAUUCAUGCCUUCUACUGAUUAGACAAGGCCCAUCCACACUGGGGAGGGAGAUCUACUUUACUCUGUCCUACUGAUUUGAAUGUUAAACUCAUCCAAAACACUCUCACGGCCACACCCAGAAUAAUGUUUGGCCACAUAUCUGGGCACACCGUGGUCCAGUCAAGUUAAUAUGUAAAAUGAGACAUCAUAGAGACUUUUGAGAAUCAGAAGUUAAUGUUUGGGAAAUGCUUUGGUACAGGGACAUGGAAUAUGGGAUUUGGGAAGUUCUUAAAUGAUUAUUUAAAUUAGAAAACGUUUUAUUUAUUGAAUCAUUUGAUCCCCAUAACAACCCAAGGAGGGGGAAGGGGAGAGGUAUUCACCUCCUUUUAUUUAAAAAAAAUUUUUUUUUCAAUGUUUACUUAUUUUGGGGACAGAGAGAGACAGAGCAUGA